rnacentral:rRNA from 1 species
GACGAACGCUGGCGGCAAGCUUAACACAUGCAAGUCGAACGCCGUAGCAAUACGGAGUGGCAGACGGGUGAGUAACACGUGGGAACGUGCCUUUCGGUUCGGAACAACUGAGGGAAACUUCAGCUAAAACCGGAUACGCCCUUCGGGGGAAAGUUUACGCCGAAAGAUCGGCCCGCGUCAGAUUAGGUAGUUGGCGGGGUAAUGGCCCACCAAGCCGAUGAUCUGUAGCUGUUCUGAGAGGGGGAUCAGCCACACUGGGACUGAGACACGGCCCAGACUCCUACGGGAGGCAGCAGUGGGGAAUAUUGGACAAUGGGCGCAAGCCUGAUCCAGCUAUGCCGCGUGGGUGAAGAAGGCCUUCGGGUUGUAAAGUCCUUUCGGCGGGGAAGAUAAUGACGGUACCCGCAGAAGAAGCCCCGGCUAAUUUCGUGCCAGCCGCCGCCGUAAAAC